rnacentral:tRNA from 1 species
UCCUCUGUAGUUCAGUCGGUAGAACGGCGGACUGUUAAUCCGUAUGUCACUGGUUCGAGUCCAGUCAGAGGUC